rnacentral:lncRNA from 10 species
CGAUCUCAGCUCACUGCAAGCUCCACCUCCCGGGUUCACGCCAUUCUCCUGCCUCAGCCUCCUGAGUAGCUGGGACUACAGGCACCCGCCAUCACACCCAGCUAAUUUUUUGUAUUUCCAGUAGAGAUGGGGUUUCACUGUGUUAGCCAGGAUGGUCUCGAUCUCUUGACCUCGUGAUCCGCCCACCUCGGCCUCCCAAAGUGCUGGGAUUACAGGCUUGAGCCACCGCGCCGCGCCCGAAGAUAU